GUGCUUAUUUGGCAGAGAGAUACCAAGAUCUUGAAAGGUGCCUUUCCUAGAGCAAGGCUAAUCCAUUGAAUUUUAGACAUGCUGAUGUCUGCAAUGUCCCAAAUGAGGGAAUCUUUUAACUGCAUAAUUUUGUGUAGUUGAGGACUGUGUUCAUGUCCUCUC